rnacentral:lncRNA from 1 species
ACAGAGCAUGCGCGAGGGGCUGGCCAGCUUGGUCUGUCCGUCCACUGAUUGGGCCGGCAAAGAAUCGCUCAGAGGCUUCCACCCGCUCCUGGGCUGGUAGACUCGGCCGGAAGCAUUGUUUUGGCGGGAGAACGCUGCCUUUCCCGCAGUCGCCGCAGAAAGGUUGAAAGAAAGAAAAAGAAAGAAAGAAGGACGAGGAAGAGACGGAAAAUUGAGUCUGAAAUUUUUCUUAAGGUAAUCAGGCUCGACCUAAUCAUUGACUGAAAAAAAUGAAGGCAUUUGGAACAGGACCUGGUCGCGGUAAGAUUGGCUAAGCAUUUAUUUUGUUUACUCUUUCAAAGAACAAGCUCAUC